rnacentral:rRNA from 1 species
AUUGAACGCUGGCGGCAUGCCUUACACAUGCAAGUCGAACGGCAGCGGGGGAGAAGCUUGCUUUUCCUGCCGGCGAGUGGCGAACGGGUGAGUAAUACAUCGGAACGUGCCCUGUUGUGGGGGAUAACUAGUCGAAAGAUUAGCUAAUACCGCAUACGACCUGAGGGUGAAAGUGGGGGACCGCAAGGCCUCAUGCUAUAGGAGCGGCCGAUGUCUGAUUAGCUAGUUGGUGAGGUAAAAGCCCACCAAGGCUAUGACGGGUAGCGGGACCGAGAGGUCGUUCCGCAACAUCGGGACUGAGACACUGCCCGGACCCCCACGGGGGGCUGCAGUAACGAAUAUUGGGCAAUGGGCGCAAGCCUGACCCAGCGACGCCGCGUGCGGGAGGAAGUCCUUCGGGAUGUAAACCGCUGUCAGGGAAAGGAAAGUCCGCUUUCGGGCGGAUUGAUCCGACCCAAAGGAAGUCACGGCUAACUCUGUGCCAGCAGCCGCAGUAACAC